ensembl:lncRNA
GUCACCAUAACGAGAUAAAAGUGGAUUAGCUUCUGCUCGGCUGCCGCGUCCGCGGGAAGCCCAUCUGCUCCCUGCACAACACCGGGAGCAGAACCGAACCGGUCUCGGGGGGGCCUUGGGGCGUGGGUCACAGGGGCUGGAUCCAGGCUGGGCCAGGCUGGGGUCAGGCGGGGUACGACCUGUGUGCCCAGGUUGAGCACCGAGCACCGCUCAGGAAGGAGGGGAGCACCAGAUCAGGGUCAACUGUGCUGGAGCUAAGGAGCCGGAGCCUUAGUAGACCUGCCUGGGCUGGACCACACUGCCAAGGUGCGCAUGCGCAAAAAGGAAGACCCACCCACCCCCACCCCACCCCACCCCCACCCCUUCCCCUGAGAACCGGGAGAGAAGAGGCUCCUUCACCGAGAGGAAUGCAAGUUAGAUGUCAGAACUUCCUCUUCGUGAGGCUCCUAGAGAUGGCACCACUGCCUUCAUUUCUCCAGAGGGCAGGAAGGAGGCAGGAAGACAGCAGAAGUGGACACACAAGCCUAAUCUGCAAAGCCCAGUCUCCUCUUUGGUACCAGUGUCUGCCUCAUGUGAAGGAUCCUUAAAGCCCCCAUAUCAUGACAGCUGCCACUUGCCUGUCCCAAGAUGCAGCCCAUCUGCACGCCCAGGCUCUGCAGCCCCAGCCCGGAGGACCUCAGCCCACACAUCUGUGGCAUGGAGACGGGGCAGCUGAGGUGGGUGGCUCAGAACCCAGCCUGGCCUCACCCUGAGCCAGCACAGAGCAGCUCCCCAGCCCCAACACAACAGACACACGGCACCUUCCAGACCUCUGCCCUCCUGCCCCAGCCCACUACCCAUGCCACUCUCCAGGGAAGCUUCUCUCACCACACCAGCCUCCUCAGCACCCGCUCCAGGCCGGGCCCCACCUCUGGUCUUUGCCUAUGGGAAUAACAAGCAUGGUUCUUGAAGUGAAAGUGCACAUGAUCCGCACAGUGUCCAGCAUCAGCACAGGGGCUCACAGGAUCAGCUUCAUCCCUGAGGAGAGGGUUACACUGUCCAUCUCCGCCGCCAGUUCCAGCCCCAUACACAACCCCCAAAAGUCCAGAGUGGAGAUUUUAUCCCCAUUUCUCAAAAGCAGAAACUGAAGCUCAGAGAAGUUGAGAGCUUGUCCAAGGUGACACAGCAGGGAACUAUCAAAAGCUUUGCCAAGAUCCCAAAGGGCACCAGAUCUCAGGCCUCCUGGGACAAAGACCUGUGCUCUCCCAUCUCAGAGGAACCUGAAGUCUCUCAAGCCAGAGGACUCUGGGGUGAUCCAGCUCUGCCUCCCACAAGCUGGAUGACUUGGGGCAUGUUACAUAACCUCUCUGUGUAUCUGUUUUCAUUGAUGAAACGAAGGUGAUAACAGCGCCUACUUUGGGGGGGUUUUGCAAGGUUAAAUGAGCUAAUACGCCUAACACAAGAAUGGAGCCCAGCACAUAAUAAAUGUUCAGGAUGUGUUAAGAUGUUGUUACUAAUAUUAGGCCACCCUACCCCAAAUCAUUCUCUCCCUGGUCAGGCAGCCAGAGGCAUCCAUCAAGCAAUCCUCAAAGGGUCUCUGGAAAGCCCCCACCUCCUUCCAGCCUGCCAUGUCCCUUCCCC